rnacentral:rRNA from 1 species
UACGAAGGGGGCUAGCGUUGCUCGGAAUUACUGGGCGUAAAGGGUGCGUAGGCGGUUCGUUAAGUCUGUCGUGAAAUCCCCGGGCUCAACCUGGGAAUGGCGAUGGAUACUGGCGAGCUAGAGUGUGUCAGAGGAUGGUGGAAUUCCCGGUGUAGCGGUGAAAUGCGUAGAGAUCGGGAGGAACAUCAGUGGCGAAGGCGGCCAUCUGGGACAACACUGACGCUGAAGCACGAAAGCGUGGGGAGCAAACAGG